GACGUGCGAGAGGUGUUUGACGAUGUCGACCCAGUCCCUAAGGUGAGUGUUACGCGGUAGGUGUGUGCGGGACGUGCGAGAGGUGUUUGACGAUGUCGACCCAGUCCCUGAGGUGAGUGUUACGCGGUAGGUGUGUGCGGGACGUGCGAGAGGUGUUUGACGAUGUCGACCCAGUCCCUAAGGUGAGUGUUACGCGGUAGGUGUGUGCGGGACGUGCGAGAGGUGUUUGACGAUGUCGACCCAGUCCCUGAGGUGAGUGUUACGCGGUAGGUGUGUGCGGGACGUGCGAGAGGUGUUUGACGA